rnacentral:pre_miRNA from 1 species
UAUAUACUCCCUCCGUUCCGAAUUACUUGUCUUGGAUUUGUCUAGAUACGGAGAUAUCUAGCACUAAAAUGAGUCUAGAUACAUCCGUAUCUAGACAAAUCCAAGACAAGUAAUUCGGAACGGAGGGAGUAUAAA